rnacentral:tRNA from 1 species
GGGCUUGUAGUUUAACGGUAAAACACCCCGCUCAUAACGGGUGCGAUGCUAGUCGAAUCUUGCCAAGCCUA